CUACCCCCUGUUAGAGACCAAUGAAUUCUGAGUCUUCACUUUACUUCCCCACACCACAGAGAUAUGGACUGGGCAACCUUGUUAGGUGACAGAGGAUACUACUGCCCUUCAAUCAGACCACCUGUCAGUGUACAUGCUGCUGUUUUCCUGAGGCUGUGUACAUUCAAGCUGUCAUAUAAGAGGCAGAGUGAAGUCUAUGACGGACGCCUGUGGGCAUUCAAUCACAGAGGAUGAGGUUUCCCAGCACAGUCAGCUCAGCAAGGCCCAUGUCAGUCACAUGGCUAAUGACCGUUUCAGUGACGGCUUCCUAUCAACAUAAUAAGAAGCACCUGUUAGCGGGGGAGCCCAAACUUGGAGAAGGGUGUAAUCAACCCCGGGGGACUGAUUGAAUCCUUCCUUCUGACGGUGGAGAUGCACUUCAGCGCAAUGCCGCCUCCACCCAGGGUCACUGGAAAAGGAUCUUCCUGGAUUACUCGAGGAUGGGCACACCGGAUGAGCCUUAUUGCAUGACGACUGUAAACAUGAUGCAAGGGAAGCCUGUGGAAGUCUUGGCGGAUGGCUCCUGGUCGAUUAAGGCCAUUGUAUAAUUUCAUGUCUUCCUAAGCACAAUGAGCAAUGAGAUUAAGUUCAAUUUGGACCUGUUCUUGGAUUUCCCAACUCCGUCAAGGCUCGAGCCCCCGCCAUGUCAGCCUGGGCCCACUGGGAAAUCAGUGAUCUCCAGACAGGUCACCGCUGGCCCAUGUAUAUAUUCAUGGGCUUAAUCUCGCAUUAUUUCUAUGGCAUGGGGAAAAGAAAUGCAUUCAAUUUACACUCUUUCCAUCUGCCUCAUACAGUACACACAGGGGAGGCAUCCAUAUGUGUGUCUAACAUGCUAAGGAUUCAUACAGUUAGCGCAAAAUGUUUUGGGAGGCAGAAUCCAGCUUGUGAAUUUUAGCCUGUAUGCUUUAACUCAGAGCGGAGCUUCAGUAGGAGACUGCUGGUUGGAGUGGAAGGCUUCAAGUUGUCUCCGGCAGAUGCUGAUUGUGUAUUAAACAGAUUAAUUAUUAAAACAUGCUUGACAGAUGAAAAGUGGGACCUCAGGCUAAAGAGAGAAUGUUUAUUCUUCUGCCAUAUACUGUAGUCAUUUGGCUCCCGCUCACAAGUUAUUGGGCACCUUGUUGAGGAUUUGAGGGCUUGGUGUCAUAUGUGCGACGCACAAACCAUUUGGGGCUGUCCAGACCGGCAGGGCUCUUAUGGAAAAUAUGAGGCCUUUUAUAGACCUGACUUACUGAUUCAAAGGUCUGUCUGUGGGUAUUGUGUCUUGACAUGGUGACAGGAUACUAGAAACCUCUCAGGAGUAACAUAUAGAUUGUUAAGAUUAUUUGCACUAUAAAUCUCUGUUAAUAAUUAACAUUUA